rnacentral:misc_RNA from 1 species
GACACAGAGAAAAAGAUAGUUGCGAAACUCAAGUCCAGCCCGGAGAAAUCAUUGUGGUUGGAGAAAGAAGAUAAGAUAAGAAGAGAUCUCUUCGAUCUUCUGCAGAAUAUAGUUCUUAUCAGAGAUCCAGAAGACAAUCAGAAAUUUUAUCCUCGUUUCAAUCUUGAGGAUACAUCAAGUUUUGAAAAUUUAGAUGAGCAUAGUAAAAAUGUACUCAAAAGACUAUACUAUGAUUACUAUUUCUGCCGGCAAGAAACUGUUUGGCGACAAAAUGCAUUGA